rnacentral:rRNA from 1 species
AGGACGAACGCUGGCGGCGUGCUUAACACAUGCAAGUCGAGCGGUAAGGCCCUUUCGGGGGUACACGAGCGGCGAACGGGUGAGUAACACGUGAGUAAUCUGCCCUCCACUUGGGGAUAAGCUUCGGAAACGGGUCUAAUACCUGAUACGACAACUACCUGCAUGGGUUGGUUGUGGAAAGUUUUUUCGGUGGGGGAUGUGCUCGCGGCCUAUCAGCUUGUUGUGGGGUAAUGGCCUACCAAGGCUUCGACGGGU